rnacentral:rRNA from 1 species
GACAGAGGGGCAAGCGUUGCUCGGAAUCACUGGGCGUAAAGGGCGCGUAGGCGGGAUGGCAAGUCGGUCGUGAAAUCCUUCGGCCCAACCGAAGAACGUCGGCCGAUACUGCCGUUCUUGAGGAUGCAGAGGAGACUGGAAUUCCCGGUGUAGCGGUGAAAUGCGCAGAUAUCGUAAGGAAGACCAGUGGCGAAGGCGGUCUCGUGGACAGUUCCUGACGCUGAGGCACGAAGGCCAGGGAGCAAACGGG